UACGUAGGGGGCAAGCGUUGUCCGGAUUUAUUGGGCGUAAAGAGCGUGUAGGCGGCUUUACAGGUCCGUUGUGAAGACUCGAGGCUUAACCUCGAGAUGUCGGCGGAAACCAUCUGGCUAGAGUCCGGAAGAGGAGAAUGGAAUUCCCGGUGUAGCGGUGAAAUGCGCAGAUAUCGGGAAGAACACCCGUGGCGAAGGCGGUUCUCUGGGACGGUACUGACGCUGAGACGCGAAAGCGUGGGGAGCGAACAGG
rnacentral:rRNA from 1 species